rnacentral:rRNA from 1 species
CGGGGUGCACCAGGCGCGAAAACUUUACAAUGCGGGAAACCGUGAUAAGGGGACACCGAGUGCCAGCAUCAUAUGCUGGCUGUCCGGGUGUGUAAAAUACACCCGUUAGCAAGGGCCGGGCAAGACCGGUGCCAGCCGCCGCGGUAACACCGGCGGCCCGAGUGGUGAUCGUGAUUAUUGGGUCUAAAGGGUCCGUAGCCGGUUUGGUCAGUCCUCCGGGAAAUCUGACGGCUCAACCGUUAGGCUUUCGGGGGAUACUGCCAGGCUUGGAACCGGGAGAGGUAAGAGGUACUACAGGGGUAGGAGUGAAAUCUUGUAAUCCCUGUGAGACCACCUGUGGCGAAGGCGUCUUACCAGAACGGGUUCGACGGUGAGGGACGAAAGCUGGGGGCACGAACCGGAUUAGAUACCCGGGUAGUCCCAGCCGUAAACGAUGCUCGCUAGGUGUCAGGCAUGGCGCGACCGUGUCUGGUGCCGCAGGGAAGCCGUGAAGCGAGCCACCUGGGAAGUACGGCCGCAAGGCUGAAACUUAAAGGAAUUGGCGGGGGAGCACAAGGGCGAUUGCG